UUUUUUUUGUUUUCCUUUCUUUGCUAUAAUUUUGCCUUUUACUCAUCUCUGGGACUUGCUACAGUUUUAAUCGGGAAGUUGUGUUUUUCGUUGUUCAAUUGCAAGAUUUUUACUGCGAGAAUCUUGAGAGGAGCAUUCCCCCAAUGUUGUAGUGUUGAUUAACCGUUGUUCAUUCGUCAGUUAUGGGGUCAUAUUCGUUGCUUCUACGUCAAAUGCAUACCAUGUGUGUAAUGAAAAUCUGAUUUCUGCAAAUUUCAAACAUAAAAAAACAU
rnacentral:lncRNA from 1 species